rnacentral:rRNA from 1 species
GUGCACCAGGCGAGAAUACUUUACAAUGCGGGAAACCGUGAUAAGGGAACCUCGAGUGCUGGCGCAUAGCGUCGGCUGUCCAGAUGCCUAAAAAGCAUCUGAUAGCAAAGGGCCGGGCAAGACCGGUGCCAGCCGCCGCGGUAACACCGGCGGCUCGAGUGGUGGCCACGUUUAUUGGGUCUAAAGCGUCCGUAGCCGGCUCGGCAAGUCCCCUGGGAAAUCUGGCGGCUCAACCGUCAGGGCGUCCAGAGGAUACUGCUGGGCUUGGGACCGGGAGAGGUGAGAGGUACCUCAGGGGUAGGGGUGAAAUCGUUGUGAUCCCUGA